ensembl:lncRNA
CUCACUUUGCAGUGACCUGCAUACCUCACACGGAAUUUUCUCCUGCCAUGUAAUUACUCUCCACUUAGCUAAUUGUCACAAAGGGCUCUCUGAGGUGUUAUAAUUAGUCUUCUUUUUAUUUCCAGCCAACGUCAUGGUUAAUAUUGGCCGGUCGGUUGACGUUCGCGGUCGCCAGAGGAUUGAGAGCUAUUAACUGUAUUUAUCUUUAUUUUUGCUCUAUUGAUUGCCAUACAAUUUUACAUUUUACACUGCAGUUUACGUUGCCAUCUUUUAACUUGUUAUUGCCAAAUUCUCACAAAAACUAACGACAUUCCCAUCAGCCUCAGCUGUUCUCUGUGUCUAAAGCUAUUUAGCAAAUGGUAGCAUGUAAAAAUGAGCUACACGCCGAGCUGCUGAACAUCAGUAUCUUAGCAUCCUCCCUUUUCAUUUCCCUAAUUUUAUCCUUUCCCUUCCUGCUCUUCCUCCUCCUCCUCCCUCAACUCCAUCUUUUCCUCCUUCAGUGCAAACGCAAUCGUGAGUUACUGUCCAGAACUCUGAAUGACUGCAGAGAGCCCCAAAGGAUACCGCAUAUUUUCACCCUGCCCUAACACGUGCACACACACACACACACACAUAACCCCUCUCAGCUCCCUGUCCAAUCACCACACCCGCCUGAAUGACAUCAGACAGUGAUGUCAUCAUGGGACCAACGCUGGCAUUCUGUCCAGUGUAACUUCAUCAUCAGCAUCAUCAUCAUCAUCAUCAUCAUCAUCCCUUGGCAGCGGUGGACGAGCCUCGAGAGGGAGGCAGCUGGAUUGUGGCAAUUCCUUCGCCCUUUGCACAUGUCAGUGUGUGUGUGUGUGUGUGUGUGUGUGUGUGUGUGUGUGUGUUUGUGUGUAGAGAGAGAGCAGAGGGGAGGCUAAAAGACGCAACGCCUCUAAUUCAAACAAUCUGGGCCAGACGCAGCAUCGGCUUUCUUUGGCUUUACUUCGUCCUGCUGAUAAAGGGCUUUCUGGCCAGAUUCACAUUGUGUUUGUCAAUAGUUUAACUGCAGGGUGAACAUUAAAGUGAUGGGAGUUAUUAAAGAAGGAAAAAGUGGAGAGGGGAAUUCGAGGCAGCUGGGAGGCAGCGUGCGGGAGAGAAAAGGGAGGAAAGGCGGCAGUCCGAGGAGAGGAAGAAGCUGGCAUGGAGCGGAUGGGACGGCAAGGCGUGCCAGGGCAGGAUGGGAUGGGACAGGACAGGGAACGGGCGAGGUAAGGGAAGGGCGUCUCAUGGUGAGAUGAGACAGGAAGACUGGUGCAAAGAUAUGAUGACGGGUGCAAAAAAAAAAAGGUAAGGCGGAUAGGCGAAUGGAGAGGAAAGGUAGAAUAAGAUGUAAAGACUCAAAAGGGAGAGAAUUGUAGAAUGUUGGAUUUGAGGAGGACUGCAUUUAUUCUUUUAAAUAAAUAUGUGAUAUAUGGGUAUUUUUCACCACUGGUAACGAUGCUUUAUGUGGCAAUGCUAAGAAAGAGAUCUGUAUUUACUGUUAAAAGCCAACAACGCCACCUAAAGGAAUUUCACCCCAGGAAUGAACAGGGACCACUAAUCUGUGGUCAAUGACAGGACAACACAGGCACUGGACGUGAUUCUACCAACAAAAUUAUACAAUAUGAUAUUAUUUUAAUAUCAAAUUAUUUUCUUAAAAUACAAUCACAAUCACAAAAUUCAAUGAAAUCUUUCUGGUUCUCAGUCAUUCAGGUUGCCAUGGAAUGCAACAUACAGGAGGGGGGAGGGGACUGAGGAUAAUUACUCACAGCUCGGUGACACACAGUGGGAGGGGAGGGCGGGGGGCGGAGAUGGAAAGCCACCUAACGUGGCACCCCCAAAAACAUGGAUAGCGAGCAGAGCCACUCUGCCACAUUUAGUACAAAGCUGGGGUAGAAUUGCAAAAAGAGAAGAAAAAAGACAAAUGAGAAUCCCAUCAAACAGCGUGUGCACUCGGACCCGAAACCCGUUUGCUGAAGAGUGAAUUGUUAAGGUCUGCUUCCAAAUAUAUAAGUAACACCUAUAAAAUGUUUGUUAUAAAACGGCAUUCGCUGGGAAUCUAUUUUUUUAUAUAUGGACAUAGUGUGGAUGUGAGCGGUGCGACAGUGGAGCUCAUUGGUGUGCACGUGUUUAAACAGCAGUGCAGCACAAAGGCAUAAUAAGCUUCCUCUCGGCUCAACAGACAGCACUUAAUCAAAUGGUGCAACUGUCAUUUAGUGAACAGAAUUGAAAGGACAAAAAGAGAAGUUCGCUGGCUAUUUCCCACGGCCCGAGCUGAGGAACCCGACCGACCUGACGGGCCUGAUUACCUGGCGCCAGUCAACAAGUUCCACUCAAAAAAUGCCUUAAUGAAAGCUGAGCUGAGCUGAGUUCGUGGAACUCUUAACUCGUCGUCACUGGAAGCCGCUCGACCCAACACAACCGCUCGCGAAACCUUGCGUAAGGAGCCGCAGCGCUCUGGCGCCUGUGCGCCACGAGUGUGCACCGUGGAAAACAACCGCACUGUUACAACACACCUGGAGCCCGUCGCGCAGACAGGGAGGACGGCGUGUGGGAGACAUGAAGCCCACUCGCUAAAUGAAGUCUGCAGCUGGAUUUGAUGCUUCGUUGGCCGUUAGUGCAAACAUCAUGCUGCACAGAUAAAGAACGCUUAUGCUGCUUUUCAUGCAGAUGACAGAAAUCCAACAGUCUUCUCGCUUGUGAAGAUUCUGCACAUCUCACUUCAGCGCUGCAGCAGUGGCCUUCAACACACUUGGUGUAGAUGGGGGGGGGGGGGAUCUGAUGCAAAUUUGAUCAUUUCAAAUAAACAGUUUUCUGCAAGAGAACUAUGUGGCUGGCAAAGGGAAACCACUACAGUUACAAACAGAAUCCAGCAAGGCCGGACAGCAGUAAUCAUGAGUGAUGUAUGUUUUAGAUUACGGGAUAAUAAAGAGGACUGGAAGAAUUCACACUGGAUCAAUAGCGCAGGGCGCCUUGCCAAACCAUGUCAUAAACCGCACUUUAAUUCUGGCUGCCGCCGCCGAGCCACAUUCUGAUCGGGGUGGUUUCUAGAGAAGUGUUUACCCAAACAAGACUCCCAGCUCUGCUGCAGCGGUUUCACUCAGCUGCAGUGACGUAGGAAAGCUCGACAUAUGACUGACUUUAUGUGCGCACAUCGAAAUGUGAGGUCAUGUCGGGCCUCUGUGCACGAGUGGCUUUCUCACCAGAGUGUGCGCUACGGCGCGGACCGAUUCCCAAAAGGGGGAAUUACGGGCCGGGUCCUGCAAAAGCUCAGAGGCAUAAUUGCUGAGACAACUUUGCUCUCUCCGAACAACGCCGUGAGUGGGGAAAUCAGUUGCACUGCAACACAAUUUUAUUCAAGCGUCCUAGUUUGCACUCAAAGUCCCAUUUCAUUUGGAACCUCAGAGUCACCGCCGACCUGAACGCACCCCGGUACCAUGUGGCCUCUCUAACACGGGCAGCGUAUUGAAUAUCAGCCGAACGUCCUCCGCACUGCCGAUGGAUCUCGUUCCUCUCACUGCAAAUACAAGACAUGUGUCAAAAUGUCCCUCCCCCUAAUUGACCCCUAAUCACAUUUGCUGAACACACAGACAGCUGGGGGGUCGGCCCUCCUUGUCUCUCCCGAGGGUGUCACGUCUUACACGGUCCUUUCGUAUCAUGCUGUGCGUACUUGUGUAUUUUUUAUGGUUGAGCAUCUAUUUCUUUUGACUCCCCCCCCCCCCUUGAUUCUCACAGAGAGCCUGGAAAAGAACGGAAAACAAGACGCUCCGUUGUGCAUAAAACUUCAAUGAAGGUGCUUGCGGUCGAAGGGGGACGCGCUUUGGGAAGAGUCCAGUAAAGAAAACAGAGCGGAGGAGGGCGGCGCAAACGCGACACGUAAAGAGAAGACGCUUUAAUGAGAAAAACGUUUCAAAUUCAAUCCCUUCGUCUAGAGCAACAGACUAAAGAUGAUUGAGGUGAGAGUUCAUGGCGGGACUUGUUAUUGGUUGAUGAAUGAUGAACCCCCCUCCCCGGCCCCCCACCUUCUCCGAAAUCUAAACCACGUGUGGCCAAAAGACGGCACUAAUGGGGCAGUGAUGAGCUUUUAUUCAACCCUCUCUCUGCACGAAGGCCAUCCCGUCUGACUGACUUUUGUCUCGACCGUCUUGAGGUCAACCGGCUCAUAGAAGCUUCCCGCUCAGCUUUUCUAGAUUAGGGAAUAUCAUAAUAAGCAAACCAUAUGUUAUGGCGCUGAAGAAAUGACCACGGCUGAAAUACUGUAUUUUAAAUAGAAGGAAGACGUCGUGCAAGUGGAAAGAUCUCGUCUCGAUCCACAAUCUAAACCAGGUGAGACAAAGAGGCAAAGUGUUAACUGUUUUUUUAUUAAGUUUCUGUUCAAAACAAUUCAUCUAAAUGAGCUACGCGCUGUAGAUUCAUGGUGACUUUUUUUUAAACUCAACGCAAAGAACAGCAGACUGUCAAAUGCAAGAGUUAGAGCCAUAUUAUCCUAUUAGCGCUUUCAAAGUCCAACAAGCGAAAAACUGAAUCGCCGGCUUCAACUUUCACCUGCGCUACAUCUCUGACAUCAGCGCUCAGUUAACCAUGGAGGAGAAUCUGGCAGCUUAGAUCUGGCUCUAAUUAGGAACCAGAUAUAAGCUGUCAGCGCCGCCUGGAAAAGCGAGAAACAAAAGAAAAGUUUGGAACCCAAAGUUUCGUGUUGCAAGAAGCGACUGCACACAGUCGACUCUUUCUUCUUCUUACAAUGUUCAUCCUGCCGCUCGAUGUGACCCCUUCCCCCCAUCAGUUAUCUCCCCAAGGGCUCGUGAAAAGCUCUAACAAUGCAAAUGUGUUUUGUGAAAAGAGACAAGUAUUAAUUGAAGGGGGGCAGCGAGUAGGUUUUUUACAUGGAGCCGACGUGGUGGGGGGGGGGGGGAUUGCAGGGUCAGAGGUCGGUUUGGUGUACGUCCUUAAACUCUGAGAGGUUCCCUUUCUAGGAAACGCAGUUCUUUUCUUAAGCAUCGUGAAAACCAUGAACCCAACUCUAGGUUCUCAUUUUCAACUGUAAUCUGAAACAAAUUGUUUUACUAUUCCAAAAACUGUAAUCCUUUUCUCUGGCACAGAUUUUUGAUUUAUGUGUCCGACAUGCAAUCUUAAUUUCAGAGUUCAUCCAACUUUGUUGGAUCGUUUGCACACAAUUAUUAUAGCGAGGAUUCAGCGAGCAGGCGGGUCCGCUAAAUGUUUGCGUGUCCUCAGUUACAAACCGGUGACGACAACAUAUCUAAAAAAGUUGUUUUCUAUUUCGUAUAAUAACAACGAUGACGUUUAUUCCUGUGUUGUGUCAUCCGUCUGAGAACAAUGCAUUCAUCAUCUUGAAUUCAAAUCAAUUGUGGUAUCUGUGCGGAAGACACAAAAUACGGAAACGUCUCAAGCCACAAGUUGCAUGUUGUCAUACAGGUUCUGAGUUACUGCCGAGACAUUUCAUCAUAAACGCAUUUAUGUCUCCCUCAAGAUGAUUUGUUACAAACUUGGUGUCGCAUCAUCGGCUCAAAUCUUUGUUGAGUAAUUCAAUGUAUUACCAAGCGUCUGCUUUCCCGGGACAAUAUUUAGUUGCCGUCUAUCAUGAAAAGCAAGCGCCACGAACACAGAACGGUAUUAAGUUAAAGAUGAUUAGAUGGAUUUGGGCCACGCGAGAAAAGCAGCUCAUUGCUUGAGUAAACAUGUUGCAGGAGCUGAUGGCAGCGGCUCACAGUGAGAGCAAACCGUUAGUCUGCCACACACACACACACGCACACACACACACACGCACCUACAAAAACAUGCAAAGAAUUAUAUUAUUAGAGAUGCGGUUGUUAUAACAUUUACUUGGGUGAACUGCUCUAUUGGGUAAUACUGUAGAUGUACUUCCAGAAAAAACAGUUAUUAUGAGGAAUUAAUGAUAUUAGAUGGAUUGAGCAAUACAGUCAGCAGCAUUAUCUCACGUUUUGUUUAGGAUGGCUGUUGAAAACACUUUAAUAGGAUCACAGAGUUUACCCACAAACACUCCAAGUGAAGUUAUGAUUACUAUAAUGAUAUAAUGUGCAAACCACCUCCAAUUGUUCCCCCCGCUCGACACAAAAAGAUUGAUGGCGGCCAGUCGGACCGUUCCCCCCCGGGAAUCCUUUGUAACCCUGCAACGAUGUUGAUAUAACAAAGAUUCAUUAUGACUUUUGUAAAAAAAAAAAAACAUGUCCAAUAAGAUCGUGAAAGUGACGCAUUGCCUUUCGAAGUGUACUAAUUCCUAAUGAGCUGCAAUAAUUCCAGCGCAAUCGCCUCCAUCUUAACCAGUUACACCGCAGUAAUGUCUUUUACUUGCUUAAUGAAUUAGCAUUUGCGAAACACUGAUUUUUUUUUUUUACUCUGGGGGGCUUUAACCACAGGAAUCUGACAAACCCCUGCUAUCAAUCCUGGUUACAUACCGAACUUCGGACAGGACAAAUAUAAUUGAAAGCCAACAUAAAGUCUCAGCUGUGUUUCACAGUAACACGGAGCAUCGUUUGUGUUUACGUUGCUCAAUCGUUCAAUGUGUUCAAAGAGCGAAAGGUUCAGACUGUUUGUUGUGCCGGAUUUCUCGGGAGCUGCGUUGGAUCAACAAAAGUGAAUUCCAGAAUACUCCGCAUCCCACACUGAAACGCGCUGGUUCGACCCGAAAGCAAAAUUAAAAGCUGAAAACUGCGACAGAGGAGACGUCCGAGUGUGGAUCCCACGCUUUUCAAAUCAGAUCUACCAAUGGUUCCCUGGUACGUUUGGCGCGGCUCAGCGGCCUUCUGCCGACGAUCGUCUUCUCGCCGUCGGCCCGCGUCCGAGAUCGGCACAUUCCUGGCCGGCUGCGUCAGCUCGGAGGAGCCGUACCUCCGGUGAAAUGACUGCACGCUCCUCCUGGGAUCUGUUUUUUUUUUUUUUUUUUCGCCCCCAAGUUCAGAGGUCAAAAAGCCACAUCUGGAGAAUAAUGUGCAACUGCGAGGACGAGUGAUUGAGAAGGUCCUUCCGCCUUCCAGCAACAUUCAAUAUUCACGACUAAGUAUGUCAAAAAAAUCAAUUACACGAUGUCAGGGCCCCGCGGGGGCCGAAUCCAGAUCGCUUGGCUCUGGACAUGGAGCGUCCUAUCCGGGGUGUCAAAGUUCUUAGCAACAGUGGCAACAAUCACUGCUCUGUGUGUUUGUGUGUUCAAAUAUAUAAAUAUAUAUAUAAAGAAAAAGGAGAUGAACGGUGAGCUAAUGUGGAAGCAAUCUUUUUUUUUUUUUACAAGGUGCCAUGAAGCAAUGAAAACAAACAAGCAUAUGUUUUUGAACUGUAAUGUGCUUCCCAUUACAACCCGGUGCUAAAUUCAGUUUAUGUUGUUCCCUUGCCAGAUAAUAAAACUCUAAUUAAUUACUGUGAUAAAAAAAAGGUUGGACGUUGGUAAGCAAACUGAAGGUGACUCUGGGGGCCGAUGUGCGGUGUGACACUCGGGAGAUGACCUAUUAUCUCACAUGUUCUAUCGUUAUAUCUUAUUUGUUUAUGUGGCUUCAGAGGCAUUCACAGAGUCUCUGGGAUAUUUGUAAAACCACCCAGCUCCUCUGCACCGCGUCCCCAGCUGCAUCAGGUGUGUGCAGUGUGUUCCAGGGGGGAAACUUAGAGGAGACGUGGGC